GUUUCAGACAGGGGAGGAGGGGCUGGAGGAAGCUCUCUGCUCUGGAAGAUUCCCUGGUUGCUGUGGAGCUGUGUGGCACCUUCCAGAUUUGGAGGAAGUGGUGCAAUCAACCACAAGAGAAUUAGGAGCAAGAUGCUUCAAUAGGCAUCGAGUCAGCCUCGGUAACAUGGCGUUUUGCCAACUUUGAGGUUCCUGGUGUCGAGACAGUUUCUCAUGUGCGAUGUGCACUGUCCGUCGAUGGUUUGGCUGUCUUUGAUAUCGAGGGAGAAGAUCUCAACAUCGAAGUCGACACCAUAGGCUUAUGUUGGGUCAAUGACGUCAAGGAAGCCCUCUGUACCACCCAAAAAUGUGUCCCUGAGAGUUGCACAGGCGGUGCACCCUUAUAUGUCAGCCACUGAAGGCAAAGUUAUCAGACCAGAGCUUCAAACAUAACUGGCACUAUAGCCACAGGUGAACAGUGUCCUGGACUUUAAAAGGUGCCAGCCUCCUGCAUGCCAGCUGUAGUUCUCCAGGGGAGUCCUCAUAUUUCUUCAAGUGCUGACUACAAUUUCCAAUAAUCCCAAUCUACUUGUUGUGAUACAAUAUAACAGUGGAAGUGGGGGGGGGAUAUUCUAAGAAUUUCUUCAGCAUGAUGUGACAUCACUUCUUCAGAUGAAGUAGUAAGGGCCAGAUGUCAGUGGUGAUAGCCAUACAAUUCAGCUCCAGAAUACGGACAGGUAAUGUCCCUUUCCUGCAUGGAGACUGCUCACACACUAUGUGGCAUCUGUUUUAUGCUGCGGAAUUGUGAUGUUCUGAAAGUAAUCUCCAUUACUGGAUGGUCUAACAAUCUGGAAUGAAGGACAUUCCUUUCCCUAAACCAAAGGAGAGUCAUUGUUCACCAUUUGAUUAAAAACAAUUAAGAGGAUUCAAAAAUGUCAAUAACAGAAUGGAAGGGGAACAAAUCAAGAGGCUUAGAACAAAACAGUAUCAAUAAACCAAAUAGUUACUGGAACACACAGAAAUGAAUGAGUUGCUGAAGACCGCCACAUAAAAAACAAUAAGCAAAGAAAAAACAACCAAGGUAGAAUGCACUCUCUCCCUGUACAGUUUACAAAAAUAUACUGAGAGAAAGGAAGCCAAGGUUUAAGAGCUAGUACCCAUAAUGAACCAGCAUGGCCAAAGAAAGCAACCACUUCAAGAGUGAGACUGAGCAGAUCAGUCUUAGCUGAAUGAGGCAUGAAAUACUCUUCAACAUCUACCCUUGGCCCUAAAAUACUUUAUGGCCAAGGGUAGAUUCUAAAAUUCCUAUCACCUAUUAACCAUGAUCCCCAGACCAAUUUUUAAAGAGACAAGAGGCAGGAUACAAUAGAGUUACAACAAUAGGAAGUCCAAAAUAAUA